rnacentral:rRNA from 1 species
AGAUUGAACGCUGGCGGCAGGCCUAACACAUGCAAGUCGAGCGGCAGCACGGGUACUUGUACCUGGUGGCGAGCGGCGGACGGGUGAGUAAUGCCUAGGAAUCUGCCUGGUAGUGGGGGAUAACGCUCGGAAACGGACGCUAAUACCGCAUACGUCCUACGGGAGAAAGCAGGGGACCUUCGGGCCUUGCGCUAUCAGAUGAGCCUAGGUCGGAUUAGCUAGUUGGUGGGGUAAUGGCUCACCAAGGCGACGAUCCGUAACUGGUCUGAGAGGAUGAUCAGUCACACUGGAACUGAGACACGGUCCAGACUCCUACGGGAGGCAGCAGUGGGGAAUAUUGGACAAUGGGCGCAAGCCUGAUCCAGCCAUACCGCGUGGGUGAAGAAGGCCUUCGGUUGUAAAGUCCCUUUGUUAGGAAGAAAGCGAAUCGGUUAAUACCGGUUGUUCUGACGGUACCAAAGAAUAAGCACCGGACUAACUUCGUGCCGAGCAGCCGACGGUAAUC